rnacentral:rRNA from 1 species
UGAAGCAACAAAUGCCCUGCUUCCAGGAAAAGCCUCUAAGCAUCAGGUAACAUCAAAUCGUACCCCAAACCGACACAGGUGGUCAGGUAGAGAAUACCAAGGCGCUUGAGAGAACUCGGGUGAAGGAACUAGGCAAAAUGGUGCCGUAACUUCGGGAGAAGGCACGCUGACACGUAGGUGAAGUGAUUUACUCAUGGAGCUGAAGUCAGUCGAAGAUACCAGCUGGCUGCAACUGUUUAUUAAAAACACAGCACUGUGCAAACACGAAAGUGGACGUAUACGGUGUGACGCCUGCCCGGUGCCGGAAGGUUAAUUGAUGGGGUCAGCGCAAGCGAAGCUCCUGAUCGAAGCCCCGGUAAACGGCGGCCGUAACUAUAACGGUCCUAAGGUAGCGAAAUUCCUUGUCGGGUAAGUUCCGACCUGCACGAAUGGCGUAAUGAUGGCCAGGCUGUCUCCACCCGAGACUCAGUGAAAUUGAACUCGCUGUGAAGAUGCAGUGUACCCGCGGCAAGACGGAAAGACCCCGUGAACCUUUACUAUAGCUUGACACUGAACAUUGAGCCUUGAUGUGUAGGAUAGGUGGGAGGCUUUGAAGUGUGGACGCCAGUCUGCAUGGAGCCGACCUUGAAAUACCACCCUUUAAUGUUUGAUGUUCUAACGUGGACCCGUUACCCGGGUUGCGGACAGUGUCUGGUGGGUAGUUUGACUGGGGCGGUCUCCUCCUAAAGAGUAACGGAGGAGCACGAAGGUUGGCUAAUCCUGGUCGGACAUCAGGAGGUUAGUGCAAUGGCAUAAGCCAGCUUGACUGCGAGCGUGACGGCGCGAGCAGGUGCGAAAGCAGGUCAUAGUGAUCCGGUGGUUCUGAAUGGAAGGGCCAUCGCUCAACGGAUAAAAGGUACUCCGGGGAUAACAGGCUGAUACCGCCCAAGAGUUCAUAUCGACGGCGGUGUUUGGCACCUCGAUGUCGGCUCAUCACAUCCUGGGGCUGAAGUAGGUCCCAAGGGUAUGGCUGUUCGCCAUUUAAAGUGGUACGCGAGCUGGGUUUAGAACGUCGUGAGACAGUUCGGUCCCUAUCUGCCGUGGGCGCUGGAGAACUGAGGGGGGCUGCUCCUAGUACGAGAGGACCGGAGUGGACGCAUCACUGGUGUUCGGGUUGUCAUGCCAAUGGCACUGCCCGGUAGCUAAAUGCGGAAGAGAUAAGUGCUGAAAGCAUCUAAGCACGAAACUUGCCCCGAGAUGAGUUCUCCCUGAGACUUAAAGUCUCCUGAAGGAACGUUGAAGACGACGA